GUAAUUCGAAUGAGUACACUUUAAAUCCUUUAACGAGGAUCAACUGGAGGGCAAGUCUGGUGCCAGCAGCCGCGGUAACUCCAGCUCCAGAAGCGUAUAUUAAAGUUGUUGCAGUUAAAAAGCUCGUAGUUGGAUCUGGGUCGCAUGGCUACAUGCUGUUGCUUGUAUUCCUGGCCUGGUUUACACUGGGACGGGUUUACGGGUCGGCGUCGUGGUUGUGCAGCCUUUCUGCCGUGUCUGUUUCGACAGGUGUUGGCAUGAUUGGUGGGUUCGUCCUGCCGGUCUGUUGACAUGCUCCCAGGUGCCCUUUACUGGGUGUCGGGGGCGGACGGCACGUUUACUUUGAACAAAUUUGAGUGCUCAAAGCAGGCCCAUGUGCCUGAAAAGUCUUGCAUGGAAUAAUGGAAUAGGACUUCGGUUCUAUUUUGUUGGUUUUCGGAUCCGAAGUAAUGGUUAAAAGG
rnacentral:rRNA from 1 species